rnacentral:lncRNA from 1 species
AUGCAGCUCCUGACCUCACAAUAUGCAGGGGGUUCUAGGACCUGCCCUGUGACUCAGAGGCAUGGCCUCACUGGAAAAGACCACCCAGAGACUCUCCUGCCCUCUGCCCACCCCUCAUCAACCACUCCCAGUACACAUUCAUCAUCAGCGCUUCCCUUCCUGAGAACUCUUUUGCCUCCCCCAGCCCAAGACGGAGCCCAAGUCCACCCACUAAUUCUAAGACCAUUCCUGGGGAUGAUGGAUAGGAGGCUGCUGGAGACACAGGAGGAAGAGCCUGUCCCAAGAAGGAGGAAGUGGUGGGGCCUUGACGGCGAUGCUGAACCACUGGAUCCCCAACCUUCAGUUACGGAGACCCAGGGACUCAUCUCACAGGAGCCUAACCAGUGUCCCAUAUCAGAGGCGACAGGGGCUGAGCCCCAAGUGACCGGACACCAGUCACCCCACAGGCCUCCCUGCACACUGCAGCCAUCGAUUAGGCAACAGGGACACCCACACAGCCAAGCCAUGCCCACUCUGUCUUUCGGGCCAUCAGCUCAGAAGUCACCCCGGGAAGCACAGCCACACUCCCCACCUAGGGGGCCUAGAAACAGCAUAUGGAACCUGGCUGCGCCAGUCUCCAGAAUACCAGUCACGAAAGAAAGUGCCAUCUCUGUCCAGCACUUACAGAUCAUCGCCAUACUGAAACAAGCAAACAAACGAAAAACAAAAAAAAAAGGAGAAAAUCCUUAGUGCAGUGAAGUAGCUAGGACUGAUGCCAUUGAUUCAUUGAUUCAUUGAUGUCAUUGACUCCUGCCCAGCACUGCCCAUUCAUUCAGGAUGUGCGUUUCAACACGACAUACAAUAAGUCAUCUGCUAAACAAAAGCAUCCCAGGCACAAGAAGCACAUGUGUGACUGACUGCCUUCUGAAAUACCGCCUGGCUGCAGCUGGCCAGGCCCCAACCACACCCAGAGGGCCAGGCCGGCGAGACUUAGGCCAGGCCGACAGAAGAGGCAGGCCUGGGAGUGAGGUGGGAGUCUCCCCCACUCCAGGCUCCGCUGGGAGCAGGAACAUUCGACUCCUGGCGAAACAGACAGGUAGGCUGGGCUUUCAGGUGAUGGAAGCAGACGAGGGGCCUCCAUUUCCCGAGACCCCAAAGCAUGACCAGGGGGUCAGAUACGGGAGGGAGGUGAAGGGGUCAGCCUACCCCUUCUCUCAGGAGAACAUGAGAAGGAGUCUCAGUCCGAGUCGGGACGUGGUCCUGGGAAUGGGCAUCGUGACCCCGGCAAGUCUUAGGAUGUUCACUGGGGCGCAGGCAUCGCCCUUUCGCUCUAAACGGGGAGAUCACGUGGGUCCCCAACCUCCUCAAACAGAUAAAGCCUAAAACAAAAAGGGCAGAAUUGGUGUUGUCUUUUAGUUCCUUCUUUACGGAGUGUUUUUUUCCCAUUAUGAUUUAUCACAGGUUAUUGAAUACGGUUCUCUGUGCUGUAUGGCAGGACUUUGCUGAUUAUCCAUCCUACAAAUAAUACCUGGCAUCUGCGAACCCCAAACUCCCACUCUGUCUCUCCCUCCACCCCCUUCUCCCUGAGAAAGCGCCAGGCUGUCCUCUCUGCGAGUCACUUUCUGUCUCACGGAUGAGUGCACUUGGGGCAUACUUUAGAGUCCACAUCAGACACAGCUCAGACGCCGGUAAGAGGCUGGGGAAGGCCAAGCUCUUCUGUCUGUUUGAUUCCAGCCUCCCCACCCCUAGGCCCCAGGUCCCCUGAGUCACCCACCGUUCCCCAGAGAGGUCAUGCCACUUCUCACCGCUGGGCAAGCACAGGGAAGUCCCUCUGUCUGGAAUGUUCUAGGCCUGUUGGCCGCCAAGAAAACAUUCUUGAAAACGAUGCCUGCUUGUUGGCGAAGCUCUUCCAGGCCCCACUUCACAAGCCGGUCGCAGCAACUCUGCUCCACCUCUGCGGCCAUGCUUACAUUAUACACGCCCUGGAAAUGACCAAGUUUGCCCUCCUAUGGGUGGAGGGCAGGGGACUCCGACCUCCAGGAUCUAAUGCCUGACGAUGUGAGGUGGAGCUGAUGCAGUAAUUACAGAAAUAAAGUG